AGUGAACGCUGGCGGUAGGCCUAACACAUGCAAGUCGAACGGCAGCACAGUAAGAGCUUGCUCUUACGGGUGGCGAGUGGCGGACGGGUGAGGAAUACAUCGGAAUCUACUUUUUCGUGGGGGAUAACGUAGGGAAACUUACGCUAAUACCGCAUACGACCUACGGGUGAAAGCAGGGGAUCUUCGGACCUUGCGCGAUUGAAUGAGCCGAUGUCGGAUUAGCUAGUUGGCGGGGUAAAGGCCCACCAAGGCGACGAUCCGUAGCUGGUCUGAGAGGAUGAUCAGCCACACUGGAACUGAGACACGGUCCAGACUCCUGCGGGAGGCAGCAGUGGGGAAUAUUGGACAAUGGGCGCAAGCCUGAUCCAGCCAUACCGCGUGGGUGAAGAAGGCCUUCGGGUUGGAAAGCCCUUUUGUUGGGAAAGAAAAGCAGCAGGUUAAUACCCCGCUGUUCUGACGGUACCCAAAGAAUAAGCACCGGCUAACUUCGUG
rnacentral:rRNA from 1 species